rnacentral:lncRNA from 1 species
CAUGAGCAUGACCCAGCAAAAAUGACGAUGACUCAGCGAAAAAAGACUAAAACUCAAAAACCACUUAAAUGUGUUCGGACUUGGGCACUAAGCAAAGGAAACACAAAAGGAUGAUGGUAGAAGUAAAAGUCAUGAGCAUGACUCAGCGAAAAUGACAAUGACUUAGC